rnacentral:misc_RNA from 1 species
GAUGAAGAACGUAGCGAAAUGCGAUAAGUAAUGUGAAUUGCAGAAUUCAGCGAAUCAUCGAAUCUUUGAACGCACAUUGCGCCCGCCAGUAUUCUGGCGGGCAUGCCUGUUCGAGCGUCAUUUCAACCAUCAAGCCCCCGGCUUGUGUUGGGGACCUGCGGCUGCCGCAGGCCCUGAAAAGCAGUGGCGGGCUCGCUGUCACACCGAGCGUAGUAGCAUACAUCUCGCUCUGGGCGUGCUGCGGGUUCCGGCCGUUAAACCACCUUCAUAACCCAAGGUUGACCUCGGAUCAGGUAGGAAGACCCGCUGAACUUAAGCAUAUCAAUAAGCGGAGGA